GACGAACGCUGGCGGCGUGCUUAACACAUGCAAGUCGAACGGAAAGGCCCUGCUUUUGUGGGGUGCUCGAGUGGCGAACGGGUGAGUAACACGUGAGUAACCUGCCCUUGACUUUGGGAUAACUUCAGGAAACUGGGGCUAAUACCGGAUAGGAGCUCCUGCUGCAUGGUGGGGGUUGGAAAGUUUCGGCGGUUGGGGAUGGACUCGCGGCUUAUCAGCUUGUUGGUGGGGUAGUGGCUUACCAAGGCUUUGACGGGUAGCCGGCCUGAGAGGGUGACCGGCCACAUUGGGACCGAGAUACGGCCCAGACUCCUACGGGAGGCAGCGGUGGGGAAUAUUGCACAAUGGGCGGAAGCCUGAUGCAGCAACGCCGCGUGCGGGAUGACGGCCUUCGGGUUGUAAACCGCUUUCGCCUGUGACGAAGCGUGAGUGACGGUAAUGGGUAAAGAAGCACCGGCUAACUACGUG
rnacentral:rRNA from 1 species